GAAACGAGUUGGAGACUAUUACAAGCCGCUUCAACCGGCUGCCUGUGCAUUUAACAUCUUGCUUAUAAUUAGCGAUGGGCUUAUAAUUAGGGUUAUUCCAGGGCCCAUUCUACCACUACACAUUCUGGCCCUCUUCACGCUCAACUGAAUCACGAGUUUUCCCAACUCCCCCGCACCUGGGCUUCUUCUUAUCCUGACUCCGCUCCAACGCCGUGGCUCUGGUUCCCUCCGCCUCCCCCUGUUGGUAUGUACAUCCGCCGAAUACUGGUUGAAACGCGGCAAGAGCAGUCAAUGAUAUGCGCCGAAUACUGUUUGAAAUGCGGCAAGAGUAGCCGACAAUUUCUCAUUCGAUGCAAAACACCAUUAAAAUUACUCUUGAAAAUGCUCCAUCUAUUCUCAGUGCUAUUCGAGGUUUACAGUUUGACACCGCGGAGUUCUCGCCUAGACCGAAUUGCAUUAUUGCUGCAUGGGCCCUCCCACUCUCGUGUAUGUAGCCUCUGUGCGCUGGGUUUGAGGACUUUCGUUGAUUUUCACCCCUCUUGUGUGCCCCUGCAACCCAUCGUCCCCGAACGUGUAAGCAGCGACCUAGUUCUUCUGAUUCAGGAUAUUUGUUAGAGCCUGAUCAGGCACGAGCUUGUCGUGGAGUCUGGAGCUGUGUUGUUUUGUGACUGGUAGACGUUUCAUGCACUCUUUUUGGUAUGAUCGUUAGCGUUGUGAGUGACGAUGAGCCUGUCUUUGGAUCUAUCAAAAUUUCUCCAUCUUGUUUGACGUGUUCUGAGGAUAUUCCCCAAAUGGUCGGAACCAAUUUAUUAGAUGAAAGCUCUGAACCCUUUAGUCACUCAGGGUACUUACGAAGGCUACCAAAACUCGUGUAAUAUAUCUGACGGUCGCCAGAGCUGACGCCUAGGUUUUCAUGUCUUGCAAAGUAGCUCUCGAGAGUGUGCAUUGGUCGGUGUGGCCGAUUUUCGGUGUGGCUGCCCAUGGCUGGCAUUUCCUGUUUGCUGAGAGAGCAUGCAUAAGUAGCUACCUAAAUGCCAGUCCAUGUGCACCACUCCCAGCGUCUCCUCUCAACCUCCAAAGAUGUAAGAUACUCAGGUUAUACAUAGUUAAGUUUUCUCGGUUUUCAGAAGUGUGCAAAUCGUUCUAUCGUAGUACAAAUUUGUAUUUCACACAAACUAGCUUGAUGCAAUCUGUAUAAACACACCAACCCACCAAGGGAAUAUGCACUCCUGCUAGCAGAGGGUCCAACUUCUCUGCAAUCGCUGGAUAUGUAAAGUGACGAUUGAAUCAGCUAAUCCCAUCCGUAGACAGGCCCACGCCCCUUCGAUUAAACUGGCUUUAGGAAUGUCUUCUCUCAGAUACUCAUGAUUUUCCAGGCACUCAAUCGAAUAGUCUGUAUCAGUAAACCAGCUGGGGACACCUUGAUUAAGCUAGCUUCAUGUCAAAAAGAGUAUCAGCCCACAUGUGUGCCUUUUCUAAAGCUGCUCCUAUACUGGCACAUUUGUGCACGCGUUACAAGUGUGUGUGAGGUGCCCAUCGCCAAGACUCAGGGUUCGGCAAACAGGAAAUACCAAGCACACCGAAAUUGAACUGAAGGGUAUUUACUGAAGGGGUGCAGAUCAGGGUUCAGAUUUAGUGAACUGAAGGUCGCGGAGGUCCUCUCGCAAUUCUUGAUGUUCUUGUGAUGAGGUUCACACUGCUGGGGUUGGGAUUGAUGGUCUUAUGUGGUUUUGGACAAACGCAAAGAGUGUUUAUCGAGUUUGAGAUAAUCUGCUGCUAAUGUGCCCUUUUCAUGUAUCUGAAGGAUCUUGAGUGUAAAUUUGGUUCUCUUCGCUAGGUGUACGAAAGGAUGGCGUCAACGUCGUUGUUUAGGUCGUGGUGGUUUGGGAAAGCAACCAACCCUUCUCCUUCGGAUGGUGCAACGAAGCCAGAUGGCAUCAAAGAGAUCGUUACUGGAGUGUAUAAUCUAAGUGAGCCUAAGCCUCCGAGUCAAGUUGAAGUGGAGAUUGUGUUCAUUCAUGGAUUACAAUUAUAUGAGCGUAGUGAUGCAUAUUGGACAACUUGGAUGGGCGGAAAAGAUUGCAAAGAGUUUUGUUGGCCAAUGGAAUGGUUGACACGAGACUUUCUUGGAUAUCGGAUAUGGUCGCUUUCUUAUGACUCCACUGCUUGGAAAGGAAGUGACAAAGGAAAUGUUGAUUUGUAUGCAGCAGCAGAGACUCUUCUACAAGGGAUAGUUGAGCAUGCUCACAUAGGUGAACAUGAAUGUCCUAUUGUGUUUGUUUGCCAUUGUCUUGGAGGCUUGAUGGCAAAGGAGAUAGUAAAACUUGCAUUUGAAAAGAGACCAAAGUAUGAGAAUUUUUUGCAAAGGAUAAGAGGGUUUUUCUAUUAUUCUACACCUCAUCAUGGGUUACAAUCUAGCUAGUGAUGGUAAAAAACAUUCUAUGGAUGGAAAGAUGGUUUGUGAAUUGAAGGUCAUCAAUUAAGGUAUUUGUCGUCUAAACUCAACUUUUCAACAUAUUGGAAGAGAAAGUUAUAACAACAAAUGGAAACACUAUGCUAUUUAAGAGGCUUACAAGACUACAAUACCACUUCACGUGUAAGUAUACAUUGAUACAUCAUUACAUGCUUGUACAUCUACAUUUUUAAGUUGAUGGCCAUAUUCAUGCAAAGGUGUUGUGAUAUUCAUAACAUUUGGUUUUGUGUAAAUAUUAAUCUAGUAAAAACUUUAAACUGUAUUAGAAUAAAAAAAAUUUAUGUAAAAUUUAUUCACUCGUUGAAUUAUUUUGUUGUUAUAGUUAAAUUUAUGUAUUCAGUUUGUUGAAGAGGGUUCAGCACGACACAUGGGUGACGACUUUUAUGACUGCUCCCACUAAUCACUUUGAAGUAUGCAAGCCAAGCAAAAAGACUUGUGUUAGUUAUCAUGUGAUAACCAAAUUUAUUGAGGAAGUUUUGAAAGAUUUCAAGGAAAAUUAUCCAUGUCUAAAACAGCUUCCAAGUUCUUUGGUACAAGUGGAAGAAAAUAUUCAAGAAAUUUGGAAGAAAUUGGAAGCACAUUCUAUUGUUGGUUUGGUAGGCAUGGGGGAUAUAGGAAAGACAACAUUGAGCAAAUACUUGUAUAAUGAUGAAAUAAAGAAUAAUCAUGUGAGACAUCAAUUUGAAAAGUUUUGUUUCUUGGAAGAUGUGACAUCUCAUGGUGUUGAAAAAUCACAAAAAGAACUAUAUUGUGCAUUAUGUGACAAAGUUUGGAAUGGAGAAGAAAAUAAAGAUAAGCAACUUAAAAAUCUAAAAGAUUGCAUUAUUAUGAAAAGAGUUUUAUUGGUUCUUGAUGAUGUAGGUGAUGAAACACAUUUGAAAGAGUUGCAAGUACAUGCUUUCAAAGACACUCAAAAUGGAAGCAGUGAUUGUGACUACAUGACGAUAAGAUAUAUUAUAUGACUACAGUGAAGGUAUUUAUUAUAUGAAGUAUUUAAAUGAUGACCAAGCUUCAAAGUUAUUUUCAUUUUAUGCUUAUCGUGGACUUAAUAACAAGGAGUGCUUUGAUCAUAAAACAAAAGUUAUAACAAAGGCAUGUGGUGGAUUGCCUUUAAGCCUUGAAGUAAUUGGAAAAUAUUUAAGGAAAUAUAGAGAAAAGAUAUUGAUAUAGUUAGGGAUGCAUGGAAUGAAGCAUUGAGGAGAUUAAAAGAAGCAAAGCCUUUUGAUGGGCGUAAUGAUGAUGAGAAGUUAUGGUCAAGGUUAAAAAUUAGCUAUGAUGUUUUGGAUGAAGAUGAACAAAGGAUGUUCUUGGAUUUUGCUACAAUCAUAUGUGAAUAUAAGAGUGUGACUCAUGAAUCUAUGCACAAGGAUAUGCUUGCACGAAUCUGGAAUUCAAGUAUAGGAGUUGAGAAUCUUAUAAACAUGUCUCUAAUCAAAUGGAAUAAUGAAAUUGAAGGUUGUGUAAUGCAUGAUCAACUACGAGAUAUGGAUUGAAAUAUUGUAAAAAAAGAUGGAAGUCGACUAUGGGACAAGGUUAAUAGACUACAAUUUUCACCUCAAAAUAAGGUAAGUAAAGUUUUUUAGAAAUUUAAGAUUAGUGAAUUCUUAACAAAAAUUAUAGAUGUGAUUAAGUUAAAAAUUGCAAUCCAUUUUUUUUGAAUUAGAUUGUUUAAAUGAUAUUGUAGUUGGAAAUAUAAAGAUUAUAAUUUUUUA